rnacentral:lncRNA from 1 species
GCUUGUAUUUUUCAAAUAAUCUUUACUUCUGGGGAGUUAAGUCUUUGAAACCUAUAUUUAUGUCAUGCUCCAGGCAUGCAUUAUAUAUAGUCACUUAUUGUCAUGUUAAUGGAUUGUGAUACAUGAAUAUCAAUCCAUGCUUGCAUAUUCAUAACUUUAUAUAUGCAUUAUCUUGAUGAGACAACUGUUGGGGCCUAUCAAGACACGUCGCCUUUGUGCACGCGGG